CAGACCCUCAUGGCACAGAAGCUGAAGUCUUUUAUUCAGAUGGGGAAAGCUGUUUUCCUUACAUCUGACAUUCUUACAGCUUCAUCGGCUUCUGAAUAAAAGACUUUGGCUUCUCUGCCACAUGGUUCAGACUCUUCUGCAGCUCUUUGAAAAAUUCAGGAGAAAAGUUGCAACAAGAAGAAAUGGUAAGAAAAUUAUAAGAACACAGAAUACUAGAGUUGGAAGAGAUAUUGGAUCUUGGAGGUCUUCUAGUCCAACCCUUGCUUGAGGAGAAUCUAUACUAUUUUGGACAAAUGGUUGUCCAAUAUCUUCUUGAAAAUAUCUGAGAAUGGGGAACUCACUGCUUCAGAAGAAGAACUUCCCUCAAUGGGAGAAUAAAACAGCAUCCAUGUCAAUAGAUUCCAUAUGGUAUGAAGAAGGAUUUGUUAAUCCCUGAGGAAUGGGCUCCAGAACGAGUCCAAAAGCUUGGAAGAUUAAACCUCUGGUCUUCAUGACUGACCCUGGAUCUUGCAAGGAUUUGUUAACCUCCAGGAUAUACCAUGACUGUGAAAUAAAUGAUGAUGAUGGGAUGGGGCAGGGGGGAGGGGAUGACAUUUUCAAGAAAUUCCCAUCCAUCCACACCCCAUUUUAGGCCACAAGAGGAACUUUUGUUGGCACCACCAAAAACUACAAAACCAUCAUUUUGAAUGGGGCCAAAAAAGGUAUAAAAGGUAUAUGUUGAGCCUCUGCAAAAUGUAGCAGUUGAAUUGUGCUCUGAUUGUGCUUCAGACACUGCAAUUAGAUUAUCUGGGGUAUUUUUUGAACUCAAUUACAUACAGUCAACUCAAUAAAGUAGAAUCAUCAAGAUUGUGCUGA